GGAGGUCACCGCCAUUGGAAUACGAUUAANGGCAUGCGAGUCGAGAGUCUUAGGGACUCGGCAGACGGCUCAGUAACACGUAGUCAACCUACCCUUGGGACGGGGACAACCUCGGGAAACUGAGGCUAAUUNCCCGAUAGGCGAGGGACGCUGGGAUGCCUCCUCGCCCAAAGCUCCGGCGCCCGAGGAUGGGACUGCGGCCUAUCAGGCUGUUGGUGGUGUGACGGACCACCAAACCUACGACGGGUACGGGCGAUGGGAGUCGGAGCCCGGAGAUGGGGACUGAGACAAGGCCCCAGGCCCUACGGGGCGCAGCAGGCGCGAAAACUCCGCAAUGCGCGCAAGCGUGACGGGGGGAUCCCAAGUGCCGUUGGUCUUUUGAUCGACGGCUUUUCGGAAGUCCAAGAAGCUUCCGGAAUAAGGGCUGGGUAAGACUGGUGCCAGCCGCCGCGGUAACACCAGCAGCCCAAGUGGUGACCACGAUUAUUGGGCCUAAAGCGCUCGUAGCCGGGUCAGCAAGUCCCUUGUGAAAUCGGGCCGCCUAACGGUUCGGCGUGCAAGGGGUACUGUUGGUCUUGAGGCCGGGAGAGGUCGGAGGUACUCCUGGGGUAGCGGUGAAAUGCUCUAAUCCUGGGGGGACCACCAGUGGCGAAGGCGUCCGACCAGAACGGACCUGACGGUGAGGGGCGAAGGCUAGGGGAGCGAACGGGAUUAGAUACCCCGGUAGUCCUAGCUGUAAAGCAUGCGGGCCAGGUGUCUAGUGCUCCUCGAGGGCACUAGGUGCCGGAGGGAAGCCGUUAAGCCCGCCGCCUGGGAAGUACGGCCGCAAGGCUGAAACUUAA
rnacentral:rRNA from 1 species